CCAGCCUGGUUUCUCUUCAGAUCGUAUAAAUCUUUCGCCUUUUUACUAAAGAUUUCCAUGGAGAGGAACAAUUCUGAGUCUUAACCCAAUUCCUAAAAUGUGUCACGUAUAUUUU